ensembl:misc_RNA 7SK 7SK RNA
GGAUGUGAGGGCGAUCUGGCUGCGACAUCUGUCACCCCAUUGAUCGCCAGGGUUGAUUCGGCUGAUCUGGCUGGCUAGGCGGGUGUCCCCUUCCUCCCUCACCGCUCCAUGUGCGUCCCUCCCGAAGCUGCGCGCUCGGUCGAAGAGGACGACCUUCCCCGAUAGAGGAGAGGACCGUUCUUCGGUCAAGGGUAUACGAGUAGCUGCGCUCCCCUGCUAGAACCUCCAAACAAGCUCUCAAGGUCCAUUUGUAGGAGAACGUAGGGUAGUCAAGCUUCCAAGACUCCAGACACAUCCAAAUGAGGCGCUGCAUGUGGCAGUCUGCCUUUCUUU